CCUACGGGGGGCAGCAGUGGGGAAUAUUGGGCAAUGGGCGCAAGCCUGACCCAGCAACGCCGCGUGAAUGAAGAAGGCUUUCGGGUUGUAAACUUCUUUUAUCAGGGACGAAGCAAGUGACGGUACCUGAUGAAUAAGCCACGGCUAACUACGGGCCAGCAGCCGCGGUAAUACGUAGGGGGCAAGCGUUAUCCGGAUUUACUGGGUGGAAAGGGCGUGUAGGCGGGCGUGCAAGUCAGAUGUGAAAACUAUGGGCUCAACCCAUAACCUGCAUUUGAAACGGUCAGUCUUGAGUGCUGGAGAGGCAAUCGGAAUUCCGGGUGUAGCGGUGAAAUGCGUAGAUAUACGGAGGAACACCAGUGGCGAAGGCGGAUUGCUGGACAGUAACUGACGCUGAGGCGCGAAAGCGUGGGGAGCAAACAGGAUUAGAUACCCGAGUAGUC
rnacentral:rRNA from 1 species